rnacentral:rRNA from 1 species
CGUAUAUUAAAGUUGUUGCGGUUAAAAAGCUCGUAGUUGGUUCUGCGUGCCGCGCUGUCGGUUCGCCGCCUGUCGGUGUAACUGGCAUGUCGCGGCAUGUCCUGUCGGUGGUGAACGGAGUCCACAAUGCUACAUAGGCUUUAUAGCCGAUGUUAGCGUCGUGUGUACUUCCGUUGGCCGAUCUCUCCUACUUCGGUGCUCUUAAACGAGUGUCGAGGUAGGCCGACACGUUCACUUUGAACAAAUUAGAGUGCUUAAAGCAGGCUGAAAUAUCUGCCUGAAUAGUGGUGCAUGGAAUGAUAAAACAGGACCUCGGUUCUAUUUUGUUGGUUUUAGGAAUAUGAGGUAAUGAUCAAUGUGGACAGGCGGGGGCAUUCGUAUUGCGACGUUAGAGGUGAAAUUCUUGGAUCGUCGCAAGACGCACUAGAGCGAAAGCAUUUGCCAAGUAUGUCUUAAUUGAUCAAGAACGAAAGUUAGAGGUUCGAAGGCGAUCAGAUACCGCCCUAGUUCUAACCAUAAACGAUGCCAGCCAGCGAUCCGCCGAUGUUCCUUUAAUGACUCGGCGGGGAGCUUCCACCCGGGAAACCAAAGCUUUUGGGUUCCGGGGGAAGUAUGGUUGCAAAG